UGUGUAGCGAGACAGAGCUGUGCACCCCAGUGCGCAUGUCCAUUUCCGGUUAGCGCGCAGCUACCGCUACCGCCAAACUCAUUCGAACGCAAGAGGUCAAAGUCGUGCACCUGGCCCCAGUGCUCUCACCGAAGGCUGACUCCAGCGUUGAUUUCGCCUGCCUUAGGUGGGGUCUGUGACAGUGAAGUUGGUGGCAGAUGGGAAAGAGGUACCCUUGGUCACCAAGACUGUAUUGGCCACCAGGGUACCAGAUAACUGUCUUACCCAGCCAGACCCACUCAGCAGCAGCCUCAGCUUUUCGUCCCACUGCACCUCCUCCCUCACUGCUGCUUCAUUGAUAAGAACCUUUCUCAGUAGACUGGACCAAAAUCCUUCUGAGACGGUAUUGUCACUCUUAGUAAUUUUUAUUUCAUGUUUAUUUUUGUGUCUUAGUUUGAUUCACCAUUGCAAAAUGAUUACAUUAAAAAUCUUUGUAAAAAAAUGAUGAUAAAUGUGACAAAUGUUUUUUGGUAUUGUCUUAUAGAAUAUAGACAACUUUUGGUGCCAGUCGCUCGAUCGCCUCCUCACAAGAUUCGGACUCUGCAUGUAACGUCACCCAGGUGCCUGUUGUGGUUCUUCAUGACUGAGGACACGCCACCCUUGAUUAACAGCACUGCAAUCAUCCUUGAAGGAAAUAUUGUCAUGGAUGAGAUUCCCACAACCUCUCCAGCACUUUGUCUUCUGUUCGGCUUAAUUUAUGCACCCCAUCUGGAUUACUCCAAAGGUAUGAAGAACACAUUUGAGACACACAUCCAGAAGAUAUUGUUGAACCUUGGACAACAGUAUAUGAUGUUUAGUAUUGGAGUGUAGUGUGCUUCUGCAACAAAUGUUAAAGAGCUGACUUACAUUUUGCUGCUUUGAAGGUGUAUGUCGUCCAAGUACAGUUCUAUGUAAUAAUCCAGUUUUAAUUAUCAGGUUUUAUUCAGAUUUAAAAUUUUUACAGACUAAAUGUUGCAAAGUCUGUUUGUUGCUGUGAGACAUUCAAUCAAGGGCCUUCUGUUAUCUUAUACCCAGACCAGUCAGCACACCUCACUCAUGCUCAUUCUUACUUUUAAGUCUCACUCAUACAUCACAUACUGAUUUUCACUCACUCUUUCUGUCUCACUCAUAUGCACACUCGUUCACUCAGUCUCUCUCCCAAACACAUAAUAUUGAGCCAAUAAUUUAGAGAAAGGCAAACUACAACUACAGGAUUUUACUAUUAUAGUACUAUUAUUCAAAUUACAGUAUAUGUAUUUUGAAUAAUAGUACUAUAUUAUUCAAAAUACAUAUACUGUAAUUUGAAUAAUAGUAGUAUUAUUCAAAUGACAGUAUAUGUAUUUUUUUGAUAGAGGUAAAAUUUGGUAAACCCCAUUUAAAAACUAAGUAUAUGUGGUGCUAAAAAGAUAUUCUGACUUUUUAUUCAUCUAUCCCCCCAAUUGUUCAGCCAAACUCGACCUUUGAGCUCUUUCCAGACAAGUUUGCAGAUGAACAGCAUGUUGAUUAUUAUUGUUGUUCACAGAUACUGAAAAAAAAAAAAAAAACAUGUUUGUAA